UUAGUGUCCCCAGUAAUAGGGCUU
rnacentral:piRNA from 1 species